rnacentral:rRNA from 1 species
GACACGGUCCAAACUCCUACGGGAGGCAGCAGUGAGGAAUAUUGGUCAAUGGACGAGAGUCUGAACCAGCCAAGUAGCGUGAAGGAUGACUGCCCUAUGGGUUGUAAACUUCUUUUAUACGGGAAUAAAGUGAGGCACGUGUGCCUUUUUGUAUGUACCGUAUGAAUAAGGAUCGGCUAACUCCGUGCCAGCAGCCGCGGUAAUACGGAGGAUCCGAGCGUUAUCCGGAUUUAUUGGGUUUAAAGGGUGCGUAGGCGGAUUGGUAAGUUAGAGGUGAAAGCUCAGCGCUUAACGUUGAAACUGCCUCUGAUACUGUCGGUCUAGAGUAUAGUUGCGGAAGGCGGAAUGUGUGGUGUAGCGGUGAAAUGCUUAGAUAUCACACAGAACACCGAUUGCGAAGGCAGCUUUCCAAGCUAUCACUGACGCUGAGGCACGAAAGCGUGGGGAGCGAACAGGAUUAGAUACCCUGGUAGUCCACGCCGUAAACGGUGGAUGCUGGAUGUGGGGCCCGUUCCACGGGUUCCGUGUCGGAGCUAACGCGUUAAGCAUCCCGCCUGGGGAGUACGGCCGCAAGGCUAAAACUCAAAGAAAUUGACGGGGGCCCGCACAAGCGGCGGAGCAUGCGGAUUAAUUCGAUGCAACGCGAAGAACCUUACCUGGGCUUGACAUGUUCCCGACAGCCGUAGAGAUAUGGCCUCCCUUCGGGGCGGGUUCACAGGUGGUGCAUGGUCGUCGUCAGCUCGUGUCGUGAGAUGUUGGGUUAAGUC